rfam:Halomicronema hongdechloris C2206 genome.
GGGCGGAUGGCGAAAUUGGUAGACGCACCACACUCAAAAUGUGGCGGCCUCUGGCCAUGAGGGUUCGAGUCCCUCUCUGCCCA